UUUUUUCCAAACUGCUUUUUUCAAUAGUAUCUAAAAUUGUGCUUUUAUUCGAAAAAAUAGUUUCAAUCUUCAAAACUUAAUGCCAAUCAGGCAAUAAGUUGGUAAAGAAUUCAAAUGGCUCAACAUGGAUGCCCAUGGAGAUAUUCAAAACAAUACCUUAUUUGAAUGAUUUAAACCUACCUUCACCAUUCCUGAAUCUAAAUCUCACAAAGAAAGCUCAAUUGAAUUUCAACUAUACUUGCAUCCUUAUUUUCCAUGAGAAACCAACAAGGAAAAUAUAUUUCAUCAGAUUUUCUUCCCACCAAAUGCCUUGCGAAAACUUAAAACUUUUCUAUUCUUCAAGUUGUGAAAUCAAUAAACAUGGGAAGUUGGAACAAGAUGUACCAAUUGGGAAUAGUAUACAAAAUUAAUUUCAUUCAUAAUUGGCUUGGUUGACGAAUUACAAAAUGGUUGAUGAAUUAAAUUUAUACAUCAAUUUCCUGGCAAGCACUAUUGCCGCAUCAAAAAUUCUGGGAAAGGGUUGAUAUUUUAAUCAUGAAACAAAGUCAGUGACUCUAAAGUUACAAACUGAAAUUGAGGGACAAAACUGAAAUAUAGUGUAAGUUACAGGAUUAAGGAUGAAAUUUACCCCUCAACCAUGUAAUGGAGAAAGAGAUCAGGUUUCUAAAUUAUAGCUUAUACAAUUCAAUAGAGUCAUCAGAACAAAAAAUUUUCCUAUCCAACUAAUCAUAUGUACUUUCUCCAACAUGUUUGCUACAGAGACAAGAAGACCAUAUUGAAAAACAAGUACUCAUUUUGCUGAGAUAAUUUGCUCUCAGCGUGGUCUAGCUGAUGGUGUACUCAUAAUAAGAGUUGACCUACCUCAUCUGGAAAAAUACUUAAUUCUCUUUUUUUUCUUUUUCCAACUCAGAAUUCUUAUCUCAAUCCUUUUAAUCCCCUAUUCCAAACCUCAAAGCCUCAGAAUUCCAAAGAGCAGCCCAGCAAAAGACUCCAAUAACUCAUGAAAAUUGACCCAAUUAAUAAUUCUUGCUAGAUCUUCUGCUGUUUUAACCUCCCUACCAGUCACCAACUUACUAUUAGCCAACUUACUAUUAGCCAAAUUAAUAUUGAGUGAUGCUAAUCCUAGCCAAAUGAUCCAUCGUCUAUAUACCUCUUACUAGGCAACAACUUCAACACCAGGAUUAACCUUACAACUAAAACAAUGCCUGAAAGCACAAUACCAAGCAUUUCAAAACCAGUUUUCACCCCCCAAAAAGGGGCGAAAAGAAGGAAACAAAUGUAUUUUUUGCUACGACCACACACGUACAGAAUAUUCAUUUAAAAGUCGGCAUGACCAAGGUAAAAAGAGGUGGAAACAGCAGAAUCAAGAAGUGCAUCCUUUCAAACUAAAAACCAAACUGUUUCAACUUAUGAUCCACUGCAUCUCAUCUGACUCUCUACACAUAUUAGUAUGCUACAGGUAUUGAAUAUUGAAUAUAACUAUUUUUCCUCACAAGAUAAUUAUUUUGAGUCUGAAAACAAUUUACGUGACAUCACCAUUGAAUACCUAGCUAAUAUUUAGCAACCAACUUGGUAAGUUGAUUUCCACAUUCUAGUUACCCCAGAUAGACACCAUUAAUUAAGUAGAACUCAGUUUAGCAUUUUACUAGAUAGUUACCCCAGAACAAUAAGAAGGUACAGUAGAUGAGGACUUCAUCACUAGGGCAUCAUCAUUACCACUUGAAGUGGUACAUUAUUUGAUAAGUUCUGGAAAGUUGAGUUGCAGGUUUAAGCAUAACUGUGACAUAGACAUGUAUUAUGUGUACAAGUGUAUAGAUUAAGGGAAUGAAAGGCAGAAAUUAAGGAAGCGGCAAUUACCGUCAUAAGUCCAAGCCAUUAACACUGCUACUUGAAUGCUUAUUAUUAUCUUCAGUUUUAUUUUAUUUGACUUUUGAUGGAUUAUUCCCAUUUAUUUCCUAGUCAGAAUUUGAAAUAUAGUAUGGCUUUUAAGACAUUAAUAUAUAAAAUAGUCUAGUUUUAUUUUAUUUGGAUUGCA
rnacentral:misc_RNA from 1 species